rnacentral:tRNA from 12 species
GGGCGGGUAGCUCAGUUGGAUAGAGUACUGGCCUCCGAAGCCAGGGGUCAUGGGUUCGAAUCCCAUCUCGCCCACCA